GACCCUGUCAGCAGCUGCCUCUUCUGGGAUGGCCAGGCUGAAGUCCCCAGGGGUGAAUCCACCUGUUCAGCUCCUUGCUUCCUGCCACCAGCUAUUGGUCCUGGGCUGACCUAUGGUGUGGUGCCUUUGGAAUCACGUGACCACCAGGCAUCGUCACAUGUUGUCAAACAUGGCUACCUACACCACCAUCAUAGAAGAGAUGGAAGUGAGUUCUUCUGCAGCACCCCAGAGCCGGCCUGCAGUCAGGAAGGCCUCCCCAGAGGCAUCCACGAAGCUGCCUGCCAACCUGGGUGCCCCAGGCAUGGGCCCCUCUAAGCCUGCCCUAGGAGGAGAACAGUUUGUGUGACACAGGGGGCGGAGGCUGGGUCUGAAUCUUUUUUUUUUUUUUUUUGAAACAGAGUUCGCUGUGUCGCCCAGGCUGGAGUGCAGUGGUGCAAUCUCACCUCACUGCAACCUCCGCCUCCCGAGUUCAAGCGAUUCUCCUGCCUUAGCCUCUCUAGUAGCUGGGAUUGCAGGUGUGCACCAUCACGCCUGGCUAAUUUUUGUAUUUUUUAGCAGAGACGGGGUUUCUCCAUAUUGGGCAGGCUGGUCUGAACUCCUGACCUCAGGUGAUUCGCCCACCUCAGCCUCUCAAAAUGCUGGGAUUACAAGCGUGAGCCACCGCGCCCAGCUGGGUCUGAAUCUUUAACAGUUCCCCUCCGCUCCUGGAGCCCCUCCCACAGCCAGCCCUUGCUCACCAGCGGGGGAACCAACAGCCCCUUCCUCACCCUCCUGGGGGUUGGGGUCUCUCUCCACAAUACCAGUGCCGGGACGCAUCCCUCGUCUUCUCUGCUCCUUUCCGUUGUCCGGAGGCCUAGGCCCAGUCAUCCAGCCAGCCUCCACCCAGCUCCUCUCCCUGCACACAAAGACUGACCCCAUCAAGCUGCACUUCCUGAAACACACCCACAAACCAGAAACUCAGCCUCCCCUUUGCCCGCAGGAUGCCCAUGGGCAAAACUGUCACCAAGAGAAGAGAGGAGGGGCCCAAACCGGCUCUGUCUCUGUGGAGAAAGAGCCUGCCUAGGGCUGGACCCUGGUUGUGUGGCUUCAGCACAGCAGACGGGACUUACCAAGGGCGGGCCACAUAUCUGAAAAAUUAGGGGCAGAGUCCAGCACAGGGCUGGGCACAGGCAGGCCCCCAACAAUGGUGCAUGGCCCAGAUGAAAUGAAGCAGCUUUGCCCCAGUCUUGGCCUCAGGAAGCAUCUCUGAAGUGUGAACACCCUGGCCAGGAGUGACACUGAUGGAUCACUCACCCUCCUGCCGACUGCACAGCCCCGUCCUGGACUCUGGCAGACCACGAGCACUGGCUUCCCAGCAGAACCUGGCUUGACCCCAACAAGGCAGACAUUGUGACGUUCACCCAUGUAGAGAUGUAGAGAGAGCCAUCUCAGACCGCUGACCUCCGCAACCAGCAGAUAAUCAGCAUCUUGUUUAAGACUAAGUUAACUUUAAGACUAAGUUUGGGCCGGGCGUGGUGGCUCACGCCUGUAAUCCCAGCACUUUGGGAGGCUGAGGCGGGCGGAUCACAAGUUCAGGAGAUCGAGACCAUCCUGGUUAACACGGU
rnacentral:lncRNA from 10 species